AGAGUGCACGGUGGAUGCCUUGGCGCCAAAUGCCGAUGAAGGACGUGGUACACUGCGAUAAGCCUCGGUCAGCUGUGUGCAAGCGCUAUCAGCCGGGGAUUUCCGAAUGGGGAAACCCACGCCAGUGAUCCUGGCGUAUCUGCGCAUGAACUCAUAGUGCGCAGAAGGGAACGUGGGGAACUGAAACAUCUAAGUACCCACAGGAAAAGAGAUUAUUCCGCUAGUAGUGGCGAGCGAACGCGGAUCAGCCCAAACCAGACCGGCUUGCCGGGCUGGGGUUGUAGGACCAGCGCACGAGAGUGCAGGUGGCUAGCAGAAUGGUAGUGAGAAGCCAACCAUAGAGGGUGCUAGUCCCGUAAGCGAAAGCGACCUGCUUCUCGCUGGGAUCCUGAGUACUGCCGGACACGCUAACUCGGCAGGAAGCUGGGGAGUCCACUCCCCAAGGCUAAAUACGUUUGGCGACCGAUAGUGAACAAGUACCGUGAGGGAAAGGUGAAAAGCACCCCUGUUAGGGGAGUGAAAUAGAACCUGAAACCGUGCACUUACAAACAGUCGGAGGGCUAAUGGUGAGUUGAUGCACCCUAGAAAUAGGGAGGCUCCUCGCUAGGCCUGACGGCGUGCCUUUUGGAGAAUGAGUCUGCGAGUUCAUACAUGUGGCUAGCCUAAGGGAGUUACACCCGGAGGCGCAGCGAAAGCGAGUCUGAAUAGGGCGUCCAGUCGCUUGUAUGAGGCACGAAACCCGGUGAUCUACCCAUGGCCAGGGUGAAGCGGGCUUAACCGCCCGUGGAGGCCCGAACCUACUGUUGUUGCAAAAACAGGGGAUGAGCUGUGGGUAGGGGUGAUAUGCCAACCGAACUGGGAGAUAGCUUGUUCUCCCCGAAAUAGCUUUAGGGCUAGCGUCACGCGUUCAGUAACGGAGGUAGAGCACUGGAUUGGCUAGGGGCCUUGUCGGUUACCAAACCAAACCAAACUCCGAAUGCCGUUACUCUAGAGCGUGGCAGUCGGACUACGGGUGAUGAGAUUCGUGGUCGAGAGGGAAAGAGCCCAGACCAUCAGCUAAGGUCCCCAAAUUCGAGCUCAGUGGAAAACGAUGUGGGAUUGUUUAGACAGCCAGGAGGUUGGCUUAGAAGCAGCCACCCUUUAAAGAGUGCGUAAUAGCUCACUGGUCAAACGAUCCUGCGCGGACAAUUCAUCGGGGCUAAGCUCGAUACCGAAGCUGUGGAUCCGUCGCAAGACGGGUAGUAGGGGAGCGUUCCGCCAGCUGGGAAGGUCGACCGUAAGGACGGCUGGAGCGGGCGGAAGUGAGAAUGCAGACAUGAGUAGCGCAAAACACGUGAGAACCGUGUUCGCCGUAAGUCUAAGGUUUCCGACGCAAGGUCAGUCCGCGUCGGGUUAGUCGGGCCUUAGCCGAGGCCGCAAGGCGUAGGUGAUGGACAUCCGGUCAACAUUCCGGAACCGCCUGGACAGAGCGAAGGAGUGACGCAGAGAGGUAAACCAGCCUUCCCACUGGACAUGGAAGGUGCGAAACGCGUAGGCGUUGAGGCCGGUAGGCAAAUCCGCCGGCUGAGCUGAGGCGUGAUAGCGAGCCCCCGAGGCAUAAGUGGUCAAGCCUAACUGCCAAGAAAAACUUCGUAGCGUUGAAGGCCAGGCGCCCGUACCGCAAACCGACACUGGUAGACGGGUAGAAUAUACCAAGGCGACCGGAAGAACCCUCGUUAAGGAAUUAGGCAAAAUAACCUCGUAACUUCGGGAAAAGAGGUGUCUCCUAGCGUGAAUUCAAUCCGAAGGAGCGCUGGGGGAUCGCAGGGAAACGGCUCUAGUGACUGGUUAACUAAACCACAGGUCUCUGCUAAGCCGCAAGGCGAAGUAUAGGGGCUGACACCUGCCCAGUGCCGGAAGGUUAAGGGGAGAGGUUAGCGCAAGCGAAGCUUUGAGCCCCAGUAAACGGCGGCCGUAACUAUAACGGUCCUAAGGUAGCGAAAUUCCUAGUCGGGUAAGUUCCGACCCGCACGAACGGUGUAACAACUGGAGCACUGUCUCAACGAGGGAUCCGGCGAAAUUGAAAUGGCAGUGAAGAUGCUGCCUACCCGCAGUAGGACAAAAAGACCCCGUGGAGCUUUACUACACCUUGGCAUUGUGUUAGAACUCCGUCUGCGUAGAAUAGGUGGGAGGCUUCGAACCUGGGCUUCUGGGCUCGGGGGAGCCGUAAUGUGAAAUACCACCCUGAUGAAGUUUUGACCCUAACCUCAGACCGUAAUCCGGCUGGGGGACCGUGCCAGGCGGGUAGUUUGACUGGGGCGGUCGCCUCCCAAAAGGUAACGGAGGCGCCCAAAGGUUCC
rnacentral:rRNA from 1 species